rnacentral:lncRNA from 1 species
AAGUUGACUUACCUUCAUAAAAUAGCGUUAACAUGAAUAUAUCAUUGGUAUUCAUCUUCAUUUUGAUUUCAACGUUGUCGUUAAUGACUCCAGAAGCGGAAGGUCGCUCCACUAACUGUACCCGAAACAGGCUGAAUACCGAUAGUUUUAAGUGCGUCAGCAAAGAUCUGCUUGACAAGAUGGACAGACUUAAUUCACUGAUAAACAGAACAAUACAAUGCAAGGAUGACAUCAUUUCGGCGUAAAGAAAUUAACGGAAUCGACCCCAAACAACUCUUGUUCAUAAUAAGGAUCAUCACUUUGUCGUACAUAUGUAACAACACUGCCUACUAUUCUUUUGCUCUAUCCUGAUAAAUGAAACCAUGACAGUUUAUAUGUCCGCACACAUGUAUUCAACUGAAAUGAAAGUUUGAACCUUGUAACAUGUUUUGCAUAUGUGGGUUACCAUAUACAAUAGCCUGAAUGAGGCAGUAGUUGUAUCAACACGGUUGCAUUUCACAGCUAACUUAAAUGCAUGCAGGAUUUUACCAGUAUUACGUUACAAUGGCCUUGCAGUAUCCGACUUUGAUACAACAUUACACGUGACAUGAACUUGUUUUUGAUCUCAGCUGAUGGUGUUCGUCAGUACUUUACUUAUAACAUCCGAUCUUCUAGUUCUCUUUAUUAUGUUAGUUGAUUAUGCAUUUGUACUUCAGUUUGCGUAAACCUAAGA